rnacentral:rRNA from 1 species
GACGAACGCUGGCGGCGUGCUUAACACAUGCAAGUCGAACGAUGAAGCCGGAGCUUGCUCCGGUGGAUUAGUGGCGAACGGGUGAGUAACACGUGAGCAAUCUGCCCUUGACUCUGGGAUAACUGCGGGAAACUGUAGCUAAUACCGGAUACGACACCUUGGGGCAUCCCAGGGUGGGGAGAGAAUUUCGGUCAAGGAUGAGCUCGCGGCCUAUCAGCUAGUUGGUGAGGUAAUGGCUCACCAAGGCGACGACGGGUAGCCGGCCUGAGAGGGUGACCGGCCACACUGGAACUGAGACACGGUCCAGACUCCUACGGGAGGCAGCAGUGGGGAAUAUUGCACAAUGGGCGAAAGCCUGAUGCAGCAACGCCGCGUGAGGGAUGAAGGCUUUCGGGUUGUAAACCUCUUUUAGCAGGGAAGAAGCGAAAGUGACGGUACCUGCAGAAAAAGCACCGGCUAACUACGUGCCAGCAGCCGCCGUAA